AGAAUCAACGCUGGCGGCGUGCCUAACACAUGCAAGUCGCACGAGAAAGGGGAGCAAUCCCUGAGUACAGUGGCGCACGGGUGAGUAACACGUGAAUCAUCUACCUCCGAGUGGGGAAUAACUGAGAGAAAUCUUAGCUAAUACCGCAUAACACUUACGAGUCAAAGCAGCAAUGCGCUUGGAGAGGAGUUCGCGGCAGAUUAGUUAGUUGGCGGGGUAAUGGCCCACCAAGACGAUGAUCUGUAUCCGGCCUGAGAGGGCGCACGGACACACUGGAACUGAAACACGGUCCAGACUCCUACGGGAGGCAGCAGUGGGGAAUUUUGCGCAAUGGGGGAAACCCUGACGCAGCAACGCCGCGUGGAGGAUGAAGCCCUUGGGGUGUAAACUCCUUUCGAUCGGGAAGAUAAUGACGGUACCGAUAUAAGAAGCCCGGCUAACUUCGCGCCAGCAGCCGCGGUAA
rnacentral:rRNA from 1 species